UGGGGAAUAUUGGGCAAUGGGCGCAAGCCUGACCCAGCAACGCCGCGUGAAGGAAGAAGGCUUUCGGGUUGUAAACUUCUUUUGUCAGGGAAGAGCAGAAGACUGUACCUGACGAAUAAGCUCCGGCUAACUACGUGCCAGCAGCCGCGGUAAUACGUAGGGAGCGAGCGUUGUCCGGAUUUACUGGGUGUAAAGGGCGUGUAGGCGGGAUUGCAAGUCAGAUGUGAAAUUCCGGGGCUCAACCCCGGAACUGCAUUUGAAACUGUAGUUCUUGAGUACUGGAGAGGCAGGCGGAAUUCCUAGUGUAGCGGUGAAAUGCGUAGAUAUUAGGAGGAACACCAGUGGCGAAGGCGGCCUGCUGGACAGCAACUGACGCUGAGGCGCGAAAGCGUGGGGAGCAAACAGG
rnacentral:rRNA from 1 species